rnacentral:lncRNA from 1 species
GCGUGUAGCCGCCACUCAUCUGUUUAUCUCUUUUUUCGUUAGGUUUGUUUGAUUCAAUUCCAAAACCAAUUUCAAUGAUGAUGCACCGCGUAGCCCCUUGCAUCUUAAAGUUUAGUUGCAAGGAAAUUACGAGAAGGUUUUAUUGGUGCAAUAUUUAGUCAUGGCAAUUUCAUUUCAUUCAUUUGGGUUGUAGAUCUGAGUUUUUUUAUAACCCAUUAUGCAUUUUUUAUCUUUCAAAAAUUGCCAAAUUAUCUCUUUGAAUUAGUUAUAUAGCACAAUGGUUUUUGC